GCUGAGAGCAGAGCCUUCAGUGGAGCCCAGCGUCAACUGGGGGUGCCUUCCCUCUCUGAAGGAAUAUUUUCCUAAAGCACCAAUGUCACGCCAAGGUUUGAGAAAAUGGACAGUUUUGAACAUUUUUCAAGGCUAAGCUGAAAAGGGACUGGGGCAAGCCUUUGGGCACUGCAUUCUGAAGUUGACCUCAGAAUUUAAAACCAGUACCUUUCCAGAGCUGUUUGCUACAAACAUGAGCAUGGAAACCCCCUUUCCUGGCUAGAAUGAUAGAGUGUGACGCACAGUGGUUUGCAUCUUGUGGCUUCAUUAAACAGCGGAUUAAAUACUCUCUGGCUCCCUGACUGCCAUCGUUGGAGACUUCUCAUCCUCCAGCUGCAGCUGCAAGUCUCAGGGGCUGUUCCACAUCAUCUACUGAGCUAGUGGGUGGGAUGUGGGAGGAAGAAUUCAGCUGGGGUUGGGGCCUAUCCAUCUUUAUUGGACAACUGAUUUUCUGUUUCCCUUUGUUAGAUUUUGUUUUCUACCCUGC
ensembl:lncRNA